rnacentral:lncRNA from 13 species
GUGGUGGCCACACAUUAAUGUGAUUUUUAUCCUGAGUCAUUUUAUCUAUUGGCAGGCUUUGCUCGUUGCUCCUUUUAGAUCCUUUGGCUUUCCCAAUUCUGCAAGGUUAUGAGUUUCUAGAACCUCUAUAUUCCCUUUUAUUGUGCUUUGAAGGUAAUCCUAUCUUUCUUGAACAAAUCGUAUUUUUAAAAAUAUUGUCAUAGGCCUCCGCCUACCUAGAGGAGAACUGGGCCCUGGGAGGAAGAAGGAUGAAGAAGAAGAAAGACCAUAUGAUAGGCCACAAACUUGAUGACAAAUCAACAAGUAAGAGAUGUCCAAAAACGUAUUCAUGCAAAUGAUCACAACUUGCCAGACACUUUACUGGGCCAAUGAGAAAUACAAGAACAAAAUGACCAGGAUUCCUGCUCAGCUGGAUGAGUGAAGGAAGUUUGUUUCUAUCAGGAGGAGAGCUCAUGUGGCAGCCUGGAGGAUAAAUUGGGAGAAGGGUACCACAUCCUAGGCCCUGUGUUUGUAGCCAUACCAAGAAGGAAAAGACACUGUCAUUGCCUUUCUAGGUACUUACAGCGUAGUAGAAGAAGCAGGGAAGCCAGCUGCCAUAUUGUGAGCUGCCCUAUAAAAAGGCAAGGAAAGAAGGAAGGCCUCCAGCCAAUACCAGUGAAGAACCGAAGUUCUCAGUCUAUCAUCAACAACCAGGUGGCUGAACUUGAAACAGAUCUUCCCUGA